rnacentral:rRNA from 1 species
UACGUAGGUGGCAAGCGUUGUCCGGAAUUAUUGGGCGUAAAGCGCGCGCAGGUGGUUUCUUAAGUCUGAUGUGAAAGCCCACGGCUCAACCGUGGAGGGUCAUUGGAAACUGGGGAACUUGAGGGCAGAAGAGGAAAGUGGAAUUCCAAGUGUAGCGGUGAAAUGCGUAGAGAUUUGGAGGAACACCAGUGGCGAAGGCGACUUUCUGGUCUGUAACUGACACUGAGGCGCGAAAGCGUGGGGAGCGAACAGG